rnacentral:rRNA from 1 species
GACGAACGCUGGCGGCGUGCUUAACACAUGCAAGUCGAACGGAAAGGCUCCAGCUUGCUGGAGUACUCGAGUGGCGAACGGGUGAGUAACACGUGGGUGAGCUGCCCUGCACUUCGGGAUAAGCCUGGGAAACUGGGUCUAAUACCGGCUAGGACCGCACUUUGGCGUGUGUGGUGGAAAGGUUUUUCUGGUGUGGGAUGAGCUCGCGGCCUAUCAGUUUGUUGGUGGGGUAAUGGCCUACCAAGACGGCGACGGGUAGCCGGACUGAGAGGGUGGACGGUCACAUUGGGACUGAGAUACGGCCCAGACGCCUACGGGAGGCAGCAGUGGGGAAUAUUGAACAAUGGGGGAAACCCUGAUGCAGCGACGCCGCGUGGGGGAUGAAGGCCUUCGGGUUGUAAACUCCGUUCGCUAGGGACGAAGCUUUUUGUGACGGUACCUGGAGAAGAAGCACCGGCUAACUACGUG